rnacentral:rRNA from 1 species
CCUACGGGUGGCAGCAGUGAGGAAUAUUGGUCAAUGGGCGAGAGCCUGAACCAGCCAAGUCGCGUGAGGGAAGACGGUCCUAUGGAUUGUAAACCUCUUUUGUCGGGGAGCAAAAAGCGGUACGUGUACCGCAUCGAGAGUACCCGGAGAAAAAGCAUCGGCUAACUCCGUGCCAGCAGCCGCGGUAAUACGGAGGAUGCGAGCGUUAUCCGGAUUUAUUGGGUUUCAAGGGUGCGAGGGGGGCGAGUUAAGUCAGGGGUAAAAUUUCGGGGCUCAACCCCGACAUGGCGUUGAAACUGGUUGGCUAGAGUGGGGGAGAAGUAUGCGGAAUGCGUGGUGUAGCGGUGAAAUGCAUAGAUAUCACGCAGAACUCCGAUUGCGAAGGCAGCAUACCGGCGCCCAACUGACGCUGAGGCACGAAAGCGUGGGUAUCGAACAGGAUUAGAUACCCGAGUAGUC